UACACUCAAAAUCAGUUGAACGGACGGUAAAACAAGUAUCUUUAAAUUUCUAAUGUUAUAGUAAAUAGAGUAUAAUUAUGUAAUAUGAUUUUAUGAUUUUAUUAUGGUUGUUCUGCAGCGAUUUUUCAAUUGAUGUUAUAUCAUAAUUUGGGUACCUACUAUGUCGGGGUCCUACGAGAAAGCUGGCGUAUCAACGCCACGAAUAUUCAGGCGCCCGUAAAUCGUCAAAACGAGUGAAAAGCGCAUUCAGUUGGAUACAUGUGGACGACAAGAUAGUAAACCUGUAAAUUAUAACUCAAGUUGUGGCCAGCUUCAUUGUAAACAAACUUUAGUUUUCAAGUUCAAGGACAAAUGCGUGUCAGUAACAUGGAUAAAUGCUACUUCAUAUGUUUUAUUUCAGUCAAUGAACCUUUGACUGUUAUAGAAGUUUGUCGAGAUAAUAUAAUGACUUUAUCAGCAAUAUGAUGCCAAAGUUAAUACACUUUU